GCAGGGACGGGGCCCCCGCCGCACCCCCCGGGCAAGGAGACCUAGAUUUCCCAAAGAAGGAGACAAUGGACAGUCUAGAGACUCUGAAGUCGGAU